rnacentral:rRNA from 1 species
AUGGACAACUCCGGCGUGAUCUUCUAUGGCGGCGCAUACGCGACGGUGAUGUCGGCGCCGCCGAAGCGGCCGGCGGGGCGGACCAAGUUCCGGGAGACGCGCCACCCGGUGUACCGCGGCGUGCGCCGGCGCGGCGCCGCGGGGCGGUGGGUGUGCGAGGUGCGCCAGCCCAACAACAAGUCCCGCAUCUGGCUCGGCACCUUCGCCAGCCCCGAGGCCGCCGCCCGCGCCCACGACGUCGCCGCGCUCGCGCUCCGGGGGCGCGCCGCCUGCCUCAACUUCGCCGACUCCGCCGCGCUGCUCGCCGUCGACCCGGCCACGCUCCGCACGCCCCAGGACAUCCGCGCCGCCGCAAUCACGCUCGCCCGGGCCGCCUGCCCGCACGACGCGACGAGGUCCUCUGUGUCCGCGGCGUCUGCGCCGGCGCCCGCGAUGGUGAUCACGCAGGAGGCCGCGGCUACGCCGUACGACAGCUACGCCAUGUACGGCGGCUUGGCGGACCUGGAACAGCAUUCCCACUGCUACUACGACGGGAUGAGCGGCAGCGGCGACUGGCAGAGCAUCUCACACAUGAACGUCGCCGACGAAGACGGUGGCUACGGCGCAGGAGACGUCGCGCUCUGGAGCUACUGA